rnacentral:tRNA from 1 species
UGGGGUGAGCUCAGUGGUAGAGUGCUUGCCUAGCUUGCGUGGGGCCCUGGGUUCCAUCCCCAGCACAGCAA